UGCCCCGUGGCUGAGUUGGUUACAGCGUCCGACUGUUACAUCAUCGAGGGUGUUGGAAAUCGGAAGGUCGUGAGUUCGAGCCUCACCGGGGCAG